CUAGCGUUUAAAAAGUUUUGAGUUUCAAUGCCAUCCCUGAAGAAACUUUUUAUUGGUCGCUUAUUUUACUGAAAUUAGAACAUGCGGCCAGCAAGUAAACUUGGUGAAGUUUAUAUUAUCUAUAGGAUCAGUUAAUCUAGAGGGAAAUCGUCAUGCUUUUAUCAUCAAUUUUGUUUUUCAUCUAAAAUUAAAACAGCUAAAGAAACAAUAACCACUCUAUUUAAAAGGAUUCAUAAUUUUAAAUUUUGAUAAAAUAGAGCUGCCCAUGUACACUUAAGUUCCAGUCUCUCUGAUCUUUAAUAGUUAGUAAUCCCUGGUUUUCUUACCCAGGACCUGCCCGGUUUCUGGCCUGGGCACCAGAGCACCCCGCUGGUGUUGUGAUUAGAUCCAAAGCACUGUGAGCUCAGGUCCACCUCCAUCCGGGUCACUGCUGGAGCCCAGUGCCUGGCACACUGCCUGCCUCGUCUUAGGGGACCAGAAACAUUUCUUCAGUGGAUGAAUGAGUGGACACAAUCCAGUACCGGGGCUUUAGGAUAAACUGAAUCUGGUGGGAUUAUGUCUGGUGGCUGGAAGGAGAUAGAAUUUAAGGGAUAAAUGUGAAUCAAAGCAGAGGAAGGGAGCCAACAGCAGAGGAGUAUCGAAUGUGCUUUGUUUGGGGUUUUUCCCCUCAGGGAUUUUUAUGAGGCCAAAAAUAAGAGAUAAGGGGAAAGUUCAGGCAGAGGAGGUCAGGAACUUCUCAGGAACUCAGGGCAAGUGAAAUGAUUCAUAGGCUCAGAACAAAGCAAGCGUCCCAGGCAUCAUUCUUGCUGAUGCUGGUCAUGUGACAUACGGGCAAGAUUAGACUUGGUCCCAGAGAACCUUUCUUGAAAUCAAACUCUUCCUGGGACGGCUUAAAAUUUUCAGAACAAUUUGACAACAGAAAUGCUUACAAUGAGUUACACUGUAGUUAGGAACUUCAGCUUGAGGCCGCAUUCCCCAAAGCAUAUCUUUUAUUUUUUCUUAAUAACUUACGUGUGGAUGAAUAGAGUUUUGUGGAAAGAAAAAAAAGGGUGCUUCUUCUCCCUGUGGCAUGAAAGAAUACAGCAAUAAAAGCUGAGACUGUCCUAAAGGAUCGCUGGAUAGGUGACAUCGAGGUAAAGAAAACACUGGGACUGAAGGACAGAACUGCCUACGCUGUGCCGCAGAUUCCACUCGACAGAGUUAUCCUCGCAAAGCAGAGGAAGAAAGUGAGUAGGUCCUGAGCUCUGAGAGCUGCCCUCAAUCCUACAGGCUUUUUCCCUCGAAGAACUCCCCAAAGUGUCUAUCUUCGAGAAAAGUCUGAAUGGUGGCUAGAUUACAGAUCUGUUGUAGCUCAGAGAUGGAGUGUACUUGUUAGAAUUCCUCUGCUUGCCAGACUUAUUCUCCAUCCUUCCCAGCGCUGCUCUGUGCCC
rnacentral:lncRNA from 1 species